CUACCAUGAUGACUUCAGAAUUCUCUCUUCCUGAAUUGCUUUGAUGUAACUGUUCUAACCUGAGUAGC
rnacentral:snoRNA from 1 species